ACCUCUCUCCCACUGUGAGGAUUCUCUGCUAGGACAGGCAAAACAGGCCACCAGAUAGUGGGUUCUCUUAAUACUUGGUAUUUCUACUUUUUGUUUUGUUUUCCUUUAUAAUCCAUGACCCCAUAACAAAUGGCCCGCAAGAUUUAGUGGAUUUAGGACAGUAAUUUGUAUUUAUCAUCUGUCAUAUUUUCUGAGGGCCAGGACUUCAGGGCAGCUUAGGUGUGUGCUUCUGCAGCAGAGUCUCUUGUGAGGUAACAUUCCAGGCGUCGGCUGGGGCUGCAGUCAUCUGAAGGUUGGACCGAGGCUAGAGGCUCCUGUUCAACGGUGGCUCCCUCACGUGGCUGGCAGUUGGUGCUGGCUGCGGGGGGGAAUUCUGAAUUCCUCUUUGUGAAGGCUCCUCCACAGGCUAACCGCGCGUUCUCCUGACAUGGCAGCUGGCUUCCCAGCAAAGGAGGCCUUCAGGGCGGAAGUGACGGUGCCUUUUUUUGACCUAGCCUUGGAAGUUACACACUGUAAGUUCUAGAGUAUUCUGAUUGCGCAGUUCAUCCCUGAUUCACAAGGGCUGAAUACCAGGAAACAGAGAUCAAUAGGGGUCACCUCGGACCACUGGAAUGGCCAUCGUUGUAGGCAUUUGAUCCUAUCUAUACAUUCUUUGAAGAUAAGAAAAAACUUGACACUUGUUGCAUCUAAUGGGCUUUCGUUCAUGGGAGCUUCCUUGAUCUUCAGGGAACCUGCAAGCAGGUACAGAUGGACACAUUCCUUUAUUUAUUUAUUCCUUCAGAAGUAUUUGUUUGCUGCCUACUAUGAGGUGGACACUCUUCUAAGCACCUGACAGAUAAACGGAGGUUGAGUGGCAAUGGACAAUGAGAACCAAGGGUUGCACAGAGCCAGUCAUUGUGAGAGGUACCAAGAUGCCGUAGGAAAUAACCAAAGGAGUUGCCCCCGGGCUCAUUGCCAGCUGAAAUGGUCAAGGAUGGGGCAUGCGCUGAGACAUGGAGUUAAGAAGAGGAUGGAGGAUUGAUUCAACAAGGUGAAAGCUCAAGAAGAACAGGUUCGAAAUAAAUGUGGAGCCUCUCUCGUCGAAGUCA
rnacentral:lncRNA from 12 species